rnacentral:rRNA from 1 species
CACGCCGUAAACGUUGAGAACUAAGUGUUGGGGAGACCCAGUGCUGAAGCUAACGCAUUAAGUUCUCCGCCUGAGGAGUACGCACGCAAGUGUAAAACUUAAAGGAAUUGACGGGGGCCCGCACAAGCGGUGGAGCAUGUGGUUUAAUUCGAGGCUACGCGAAGAACCUUACCAGGGCUUGACAGGAAACUUAAGACCCUAGAGAUAGGGGGAUAAUAAGUGAAACAGGUGG